AUUUGGGGAAUGAAUUUACCGGUUUACUUCAUCCUGAUACCUUUGCUUGCUAUUGGACUAUGUUCCCCAGAUUUCAUCAUCAAAUCAGUUGUAUUGAAUGAACACAAAAUUAAAACAAAACAGAAUUACGUUUUUUUCGUUUUUAAUUACAAAUGACUUACGGAUUAUCCGAUGAUACACGGUGCGAACUAUCACAUUUCCAGUGAUUACAAACAAUUUUGCUAUCUUGAGUAACAGAUCGGGCAGCCGGUACCGAGGAUGUAUGAUACGGAUCGGGCAUUGAGAAGUCUAGUGGCUCGUGACGACUGCUAGGACCAUAUAUCAGUCCUGUGACAGAUGCCUUACUCUGAUGACGACACAGUAGUGUUGAAGCGUUCGUCUUUUUGCACGGUUAAAGGCUGCAGGUCAGUCAAUGUGUUCCAGUCCCUUUCUUUCCCUUGGCUUGGAAAUUUGCUGUCCUCGAGCUGAAAAGCACCUGAUUCAGCUUCUUACUGCUGGACGAUGCACAGACAACCCUGUUUCAGCUGGGCACUAGACUUUUUAUGUUUAAGGGGGUGCUCGGCCUGGUCAGAAAAAUGGCCGUUUUUUUAAGGCUAUAGUUAUAGUAUUUUAUUUUUUUAUUAAUUCUUAAUUUCCAGACACACUGUUCUGCUGAGAAAGCCAAUCACAACUGAUCAAACACCAAAAUCAAAUUUCUAUUAAUUUUGCUCUUGACGUCUUAUUUAUUCUAACAUUGCCUCACAGAUUGUUUGUAUGCAGCAGUAUGACUCAGUUUCCUUACAUGAUGAUGGUCUAAAUGCUCUUAAAAGUCUUCUCCACAUUGUCAAUAAUACAAUUUGUAUAGGGAAACAUUGAGAUUUUUUUUUCUCACAUUAAUCAUUCAUGUAUUUUACUUGCCAAUACAUCACUUUAUGAUAUUUUUAUUGCCUUGCUGAAAUUUCAAAACCCCAUCACGUUUGUUGCCCAGGAAAUCCUAUCCUGCCCAUUCCAUCAAUUCAAACAGCCUCUCUUGCCAACUGAUAACAUUUGGUUUACAAUUUGAAUGACCCCUUUGCAAGAGCUAUGUAUGUAUGUAUAUGAAAGGGUCACGCCUGCAGUCAGUUAUCUUGUGGGUGGGACAGACAGCCUGCAAACCAAUCCAUAACACCAACCCUCCUCCAACGGCCAUUUUACUGGUUAUGCUGUCAUUGUAACCAUUUGAAAGCUAGAGGUCGUAGUUGCCUCAUCUUGAGUCACUGAAUGAGUAAAACAGACAGUGACAUGUGACAGACAGUCCAUGUGUCAUCUUGGAGUACAAGUCCUUUUUUUCACCACCACACUACAGUGGGUCCUGCAAAGUGUUUUUGUAUUUAUGUCACCCAUCCAUCUACCCUGCUUUCUGUGUAAAUUGGGAUUGUAAGCUUCUAAUAUGUUAUGUUAUGUUGUGUUAUAUAACAUAUGUGGCUUGCUCAAUAAAAUUGCAAAUAUAUUUUUGUUUUUUCAACAUAUUUAUCUCUCACAACCUCAAAAUUUUGAAAAUAAUCUCUUCAUCUAAUUUUUUGUUCUGCUCUGGGUCUCUUUCUUUCUUUCUUGCCAACACUAGCAUUAUUAUGACCUAUUAGUGAAAAGACUUAAUUGUGGGACGUUGGGGAACUAACAAUGGAAGUGGGACAUAGCUUUAUGACUCAGGCAACACCUUUAAGGGAAAAACACAUGACCGAAGACAACAGCAAGGUGUGUGCUUUCCCAGUGAUACUCAACAAUACUUCAGCUUACUGAACAUGAACCAGGCCUAAAGAUUUGGUAGAAAAGUGUUCGCAUUUGCUGUAUUUUGUGUUGUACAGUGUUAAAAAGUAAUGCUUGAUUGCUUAAAUUAUCACCCCUGUCUUCUCUAGUAGGGAAUAAAACACACUGCAGGUGCAUGUGUUAAGCACCAAAUGUGAAACCAAAAUAUUUUAAUUUGAUGUAACUUUGCAUAACAUUUACACUAUAGUGCUAUACAAGCUUUGGGUUAAAAGAAUGUGAUACCGACAUCAAUUGCCUCAUUUGUUACCAAUGAGGCUCACAGCCUUAGGAGAGAAAGUGACCUUAAAAUAAACGCAGUGCAGUUGACGCUGUGGUAUCGCCCUUAGCCUCCUGACUGCCACGGAUAUGUUCAUUACAAACAGGUUUAAAGUCAGUGAGAGACAGUUUAUCUUGAGUUAGUCUAAUUUUCACAAAGGGCUUUCUGGGCUUAGAAAUCUGAAUAGAAUAACAGGGACAAUCAAGGUGUACUUAAAUAAUUGAUUCUGUGCCUGAUAUUUAUGCACUGUUUCUGUGGUUGACUUUUAUGUAGAAUAUUGUGAAACUGCUCUGACAGGCAGUUGCUGUUUACUCCAUUUAGUCAGCUGACGCCUUAUGAGGCGAUUCACAUGUAUUCAGUUUCUCUACUCUCCCAAGGGGUUGAAGAACCAACAGGGAAGGAGGAGCAGGUCUCAUAUAUAUUGUAUUGCUUGAUAAAGACAGUUCAACUUAGGAAAAGAGUGUGGGAAAGUGGUAUGCUUGACAAACAAUGUAUUUUGUUUGAUCAAACCUGUACAUUUUUGUUUGUUAAAGGUGCCAUUGGGAUUCAGAACAUACGUAACGUGUUUGGAGAUUUUGUCCUUAAAAAUAAAAAUACAUUUCAACAAAAA